AACGAACGCUGGCGGCGUGCCUAACACAUGCAAGUCGAACGAGAAAGUCACUUCGGUGAUGAGUAGAGUGGCGGACGGGUGAGUAAUAAAUAGGAACGUACCUUAUGGAGGGGGAUAACUUAGGGAAACUUGAGCUAAUACCGCGUAAGAUCGAGAGAUGAGAGGUGGCCUCUGUUUACAAGCUACCGCCAUAAGAGCGGCCUAUUUCCCAUUAGCUAGUUGGUAAGGUAAAGGCUUACCAAGGCAACGAUGGGUAGCUGGUCUGAGAGGAUGAUCAGCCACACUGGAACUGAGACACGGUCCAGACUCCUACGGGAGGCAGCAGUAAGGAAUAUUGCGCAAUGGACGAAAGUCUGACGCAGCGACGCCGCGUGGGGGAUGAAGGUCUUCGGAUUGAAACCCCUUUCGGGAGGGAAGAUGGAGUGGGUAACCACUUGGACGGUACCUCCAGAAGCAGCCACGGCUAACUUCGUGCCAGCAGCCGCGGUAAU
rnacentral:rRNA from 1 species